rnacentral:rRNA from 1 species
GACGAACCGUGCGAACGUUGUUCGGAAUCACUGGGCUUAAAGGGCGCGUAGGCGGGCCGGACGGUCCGGGGUGAAAUCCCCCCGCUCAACGGGGGAACGGCUCCGGAUACCGCCGGCCUCGAGGGGGGUAGGGGCGAGCGGAACGCUGGGUGGAGCGGUGAAAUGCGUUGAUAUCCAGCGGAACUCCGGUGGCGAAGGCGGCUCGCUGGGCCCUCUCUGACGCUGAGGCGCAAAAGCCAGGGGAGCGAACGGG